AGUUACCAUAAAAAUUUGGCAACCAUGUUUAUAAGGGUGCUAUACAUUCAGCAAUCCAUGAAGUAGUAUAUGAAUCCCAAACUCUUGAAGAAUUUGAAUAAGGCUGGACUUCAAUGAUUAAUGUCUAUACAUUGCAUGAGCACGAGUGGUUGUCAGGAUUUUAUACAGAAAGAAAUCGUUGGGUUCCAUGUUUUUUGAAGACAAGUUUCUGGGCAGGGAUGUCGACAACGUAAAGGAGUGAGAGUUGAUGUUGCAUCUGGAAGUGCAGUACAAGAAAAUACUGUCAGUGUCAACAUUCAAGAUUCGAAUUGUGCGCGUUGCAAGGGAGCACCAAGGAAAAAUCGAAUAAAAGGCGCAUUAGAACGUACUUCAAAGAAAUCUAAGGUUAUUUCAAAAACAACGAAACGCACAAACCUGAGCCAAACUGCAUCACAUGAGGGACCAAUCAUCAUCCAACCAUCACAAUAGUCAAAUUAUGCCAUGACCACUUCGCUCACGUUUUCACAACAGUUAAUGGGUGUUCAAUCAACAAAUUGGAGUAAUGCUUACAAAAUGAGUUUGCCACCUACAACUUGGAUGAUUAGUCAACAUUUGGUUCCAAAUUUUACGCCACUACAACGUCCCGUGAUGGGAGAAGCUGCUGAAUUAGUAGACGAGUCCAAUAGUGAAUGAAAUGUUACUUAGGAUAAUGUAGUUACUUAUAUUCUUGGUAGAAUUAAAUAUUGGCGUGAACGAAAUGUUAGAUACUGGCGUGAACUUAGAUACUUAG